AUGAUGCAAAUUAAUGACUGCAUAGUUCAGCAGAAAAUUAAUGUAGAGAACAGAGUAAUGUCUUUGCUCCUAACUGUUGCAUCAA